AGCCGUUUGUUGAAUGCCAUUUCCGUAAUCAUGGGAUGUUCUGAAUAGAAGACUCGCCACCAUCAUGUGAAGCUACAUUAUUCAAAGAGGGCCACAUGCCUCAAGCCACUUGAUUGUGUUGUCACAAUGAACAGAAGAAUCACCAUGUAUCCUAGUUGACUUGUACAACUACGCGUCGACCAGAAGAUCUUCCAGUGUGAUGCCAACCUAAACAGGUAAGAAACAACUUAUAGAAGCUGCUGGAUGUAAUGAGAUAGUCAUUUAAAGAAAUACCUUGGAUUUAUAUAGCUACUAAAAGCAUUAGCAAUGAAUCUUUGCAAUAAUUGAUUUCAGAGAAGUAAAACAUUAUAAAAAGCUAACAAAUCACAUGUCAAUUAAUGUGUUUUGUUUUAAAAAAUCUUAACAUAAAAGGAAGACAACAUGUGUUCACAGAUGAGAGCCAUGUUACAAAAAAGAAUUCUGCUGACUUAGGUCAAAGCUCAAACGAUAACUUGAAAGCGAGUAUACAUGUUCCUGAUUCUAGUUUCCAGCUGUUUCUAUAAAAUCUGUGCCACAAGUAGAUCGAGUCUUACAACAUUGAUAUUAUUUUCGUUUCUUCGUCUGUAGGGUGUAGAGCUUGUGCACAAGCAGACCCACAAAAGCAUGGUAUGUCAAAACUCCUAUAAACAUAUUGAGAUUGCAGUUCUAGGAAAAAUAGUAAGGGGUGCAACGCUGACCUGCACUCCAUGUGGCGAGGAUGAAGAAGGGUUUACUUUUUGGACAGGUAACAGAAGCAUUGCAUCGCUACAGAGCUGUUGGUUGUGCUCUGCUCUACGGAGGAUGCAAAGGGGUUUGCACCAGGUAGAGGUAGUCACGUUGUGCACUGCCCUGUGGAUUGCAGAAGAUUCCUCUCUAUUAACCCCUCUCUCUCUCUCUCUCUUCGUGUGUUUAAUUCCUCCUUCGAACUCCUUUCU
rnacentral:lncRNA from 1 species